UACGUAGGGUGCGAGCGUUGUCCGGAAUUAUUGGGCGUAAAGGGCUCGUAGGCGGUUUGUCGCGUCGGGAGUGAAAACACCGGGCUUAACUCGGUGCUUGCUUUCGAUACGGGCAGACUAGAGGCAUGCAGGGGAGAACGGAAUUCCUGGUGUAGCGGUGAAAUGCGCAGAUAUCAGGAGGAACACCGGUGGCGAAGGCGGUUCCCUGGGCAUGUCCUGACGCUGAGGAGCGAAAGUGUGGGGAGCGAACAGG
rnacentral:rRNA from 1 species